rnacentral:rRNA from 1 species
CCUACGGGAGGCAGCAGUGGGGAAUAUUGCACAAUGGGGGAAACCCUGAUGCAGCGACGCCGCGUGAGUGAAGAAGUAAUUCGUUAUGUAAAGCUCUAUCAGCAGGGAAGAAAAGGACGGUACCUGAGUAAGAAGCCCCGGCGAACUACGUGCCAGCAGCCGCGGUAAUACGUAGGGGGCAAGCGUUAUCCGGAUUUACUGGGUGUAAAGGGAGCGUAGACGGCAGUGCAAGUCUGGAGUGAAAGGCGGGGGCGCAACCCCCGGACUGCUCUGGAAACUGUACGGCUGGAGUGCAGGAGAGGUAAGUGGAAUUCCUCGUGUCGCGGUGAAAUGCGUAGAUAUUAGGAGGAACACCAGUGGCGAAGGCGGCUUACUGGACUGUACCUGACGUUGAGGCUCGAAAGCGUGGGGAGCAAACAGGAUUAGAUACCCCAGUAGUC